rnacentral:tRNA from 2 species
GGUGGAUAUAACUUAAUAGGUAAAGUGACAAUUUGUGAAGUUGUAAAUAUGGGUUCGAGUCCCAUUAUUCACC